AUUAUGGAGAGUUUGAUCCUGGCUCAGAAUGAACGCUGGCGGCGUGCUUAACACAUGCAAGUCGAACGGUAACAGGAGAGCUUGCUCUUGCUGACGAGUGGCGCACGGGUGAGUAAUGCAUAGGUAACGUGCCCCUUAGUCUGGGAUAGCCACUGGAAACGGUGAUUAAUACUGGAUACUCCUUCUCUCUUAAUGAGAGUUGGGAAAUUUUUUAGCUAAGGGAUCGGCCUAUGUUGUAUCAGGUAGUUGGUGGGGUAAGAGCCUACCAAGCCAAUGACGCCUAGCUGGUCUGAGAGGAUGACCAGCCACACUGGAACUGAGACACGGUCCAGACUCCUACGGGAGGCAGCAGUGGGGAAUAUUGCACAAUGGAGGAAACUCUGAUGCAGCAACGCCGCGUGGAGGAUGACACAUUUCGGUG
rnacentral:rRNA from 1 species